CGUCAACAAAAAGCAGCGCAGUUCCUUUGAAGUUGGAAGUAGAAGUUUACUUGCGCGCGCGGGCCGGAAUUCGCUGCUGCGUUCGAUAUCAGGGUAUUUUUCAUCCGGCUAUUGUGAUUCGCUAUUUAUGCAGAAUAAGACGGCCUACGCGCAGACGAUUCGCCGAUUGCUUUGCAUUUUUCAAGGCCGAGCCUAGUGUGUGUAUGUGUUGAUGCGCUUACUUCCGCACGACCAGCUUGAUGAGGUGUGAGCUGGAAAAAACGUGCAGCUGAUGAUGCUGUUUACGGAACCUGAGCGAUAAAGAAGAUGUUUAUUCUUGACAUUUUAAAAUUACUUAUGAUAAACCUCAGAUGACUGUACAAUGGCAGAAAUAUACUAGGUUAGAAGAUGCUGUGAAAAAAUUGUGUGUUUAUAACUUGACUCUUCAAAAACAACAGGAAAUAUGAUCCGCUAAAUCUUUACCAAAUGAUUGUUUUUAUAGAAUAAAAUAUGAUGUUUUGUGCA